UGAUUAGAGUGAAGAUUUAGAAGAAGUUGUGAACUGCAACAGCCAUCAGGAAGAUGACAGUACCUAACCAUGGCUCCUCUGAGAAGUUAUUCUGACAGAAGUGGGAAAGGAAAUAAAGAACUAGGAACUGCCAUUCUUUACCCAGAAUCUGACCUAACCUCCAAGGAAUAAUCUUCAAAAGAACUUGUUUCUAAAUGUUGGGAUAAAGGUGAGGAAUUCAUCAUCAAUCCUGUGCUGAAACAAAGCAAGAGGCCAAAAUCAGCUGCAACCAGCCAAGUACAGACAACAUUUAUCUUUUAUUACAACAUAAUUCUUGAAAUUGCAACAAAUGCCGCUUUGGGGUCAUCAGUCCACAGGAAAGAGACAUCCUAGUCCAGAAUCUCCUUAAUCUCAUUCUGUGCUAUUAGGAUACAGGUUAGUGCCCCACAGAAAUCAGUGCUUGGAGGUCAGAGUCAGUGUGGACGAUACUCUGAAGAUCUGUGGCAGCAUGUUACUCAGCUGGUAAAACAUUUCCUCAGAAAUUGUCUGGAAAAAAAAAAAGCAACACACACCAGAAGCACCUUGAGCAAUCAGUGA